rnacentral:rRNA from 1 species
CCAGACUCCUACGGGAGGCAGCAGUGGGGGAUAUUGCACAAUGGGGGGAACCCUGAUGCAGCGACGCCGCGUGGGUGAAGGAGUGCUUCGGCAUGUAAAGCCCUAUCGGCAGGGAAGAAGGAGGACGGUACCUGACUAAGAAGCCCCGGCUAACUACGUGCCAGCAGCCGCGGUAAUACGUAGGGGGCAAGCGUUAUCCGGAUUUACUGGGUGUAAAGGGGGCGCAGACGGCAGCGCAAGCCAGGAGUGAAAGCCCGGGGCCCAACCCCGGGACUGCUCUUGGAACUGCGCGGCUGGAGUGCAGGAGGGGCAGGCGGAAUUCCUGGUGUAGCGGUGAAAUGCGUAGAUAUCAGGAGGAACACCGGCGGCGAAGGCGGCCUGCUGGACCGUGACUGACGUUGAGGCUCGAGAGCGUGGGGAGCAAACAGGAUUAGAUACCCGCGUA